CUUGAAAGCUUUUGGAUUGGUGGGAUUUUACGAUGGGAAGAUCCUAGACUUGAUUGGUCACAAGAAAGGAUCAGAUCUGUAGUUGAGUUGAAGUGAGGGGGGCUAUCUGCAGUACUGAGUUGUGAGGUGACGUUUGAAGCUUGAGAAACAGGGUCAUGUCUGCAUGGGAAAAGUAAACAGAAG
rnacentral:lncRNA from 1 species